CUUCUUAGCUAUUGCCACCUUUGGUACUGUGCUUUCAGUCUGAAAGGAGCUCAAAAGGACAAGUGAAGGUGGCUCACAGCCUGCUAUGUAGAUUUUUCAUUGUCCUCUCCUGUCUUCUGAACCCGUGAAUACUUCUUGCAUGAAGAUUUGAAGCAGCUGGGAGGCCAAGAUAUUGGCCAGGAAAAGCUGCAAGGAACAGAGCCUUGCACAUUCUUCUCAAAGAAAUAAAAUAUUGGAUACCACCAUGCUCGAGAGAGAAAAUUUGUCUGCGAAGAGACCUUUAAAGUCUGUAUUGGCGCAAGCAGAUUAACAAAUGGGAGUGAAGCUAUUCUUCAAAAUGCACUUGAGCCAUUUUAGUGGAAGUCUCCCUGCCCUUCUUUCUCCAUUGAAAAGCGCCUUGGGUGUCACAAUGACCAUUCAUAACUUCUGACAGGCUAAUGGGCUCCGUUUCACUCGCAGCGGGACAUUUUUGGCACACACUGCAUUGUGGGGUAAUGGUCAGCCUUUACUUUCACACAAUAACAGCAGAAAAGUUACUGAUCUCAACAAGCCUACCCAGUAGUAGUCUGAGAAGCCUGUGCAAAAUAGUUCCUGUAGGACAACUAAGAUUUUGGUGGAAGUGUCAAAACAGUAAAUUCUUUUAACACUCCCCAAAACAUUGCAGAUAAACCUGUUAUCUCCUUAUGAAAAAGAAAAUAAAUAAAAAGGAGCCAAGUCGUCUCAAGAAGCUGGUGAAAACAGCCCCAAGCAAGACAGAUAUACCAAGUCUAAAAAUGUAAAUAACUAUUCUGGACAAAAAAAACUGGAGUGGGGGAGAAUAAGCAAAGCAGCAGCAAAAGAUGAAAGGAAGAGAAGAACAGAGCGAAAAUAAAAUAAACCAUUAAACCAGAGACAAUGAAAACCUCAGAAUGCAUCUUGUACUGAAGACAUGUCAUGAAGAGAAAGGAAUACCAUAAGCAACCUCUAAUUCAGCGCAAUUAUAGGGCUUAAGCCCUUGCUCAGGUAACAUUUUGCUAAUUAUAUGGGAGGCAGAAAAAGGGAAACUAUGCAUCUCUUGUAGAACACAAUUCUACUAAAACAGAUGCUUAAUUAGGUAGCAGUCAAAAGGCUUUUUACAAGAAUUUGUAUGACAACUCCUCCAACGCCUUAUAAUAAAACAACGAACUAUACUAGACCCAAAAAUGCUGGGUUAUCUACAUCUCUUCUUAUACUAAAGAUAUUCAAGAGUAUGUGACCAGCAUGAAGCUGCAAUAACACACAACACGAGGCAAAUGGCAAAUCUAUUUUUAGGCUAUUUUCCUAACACAGUUCUGGUAAUUGUGAUGAGUUACACAUGCCAUUCCCCCUGUAACAUUCACUUUACAAGACACCUAGGCCUAAGAAUCAGCAGACUACAAUCAGCAUCUCAAAUCACCGAAGAUUGUCUCACAUCUGCAGAUUUCAAGUUUGUCUUAUUAAACAGGUAUAUUUAUAUAGCCCUUUCUAAGGCAGAACGUAGCGCUGCAACACUUCCUUCCCUCUAUGUUUUAAUAAAGAGGAAUGCAUUCAA